rnacentral:misc_RNA from 1 species
AACGCACAUUGCGCCCUCUGGUAUUCCGGGGGGCAUGCCUGUCCGAGCGUCAUUGCAACCCUCAAGCACGGCUUGUGUUAUGGGCGUCCGUCCCGCUUCUUUUAGUGGACGCGCCCGAAAUGCAGUGAUCGCCGCCGCGAUACCGGCGCCCGAGCGAAUGGGAAACAUACCACCGCUCAAUGGGCCCGGCCGGCAGUUUCGGUCCUACAACCAAAAUUUUUCUUAGGUUGACCUCGGAUCAGGUAGGGAUACCCGCUGAACUUAA